AUCGCCUCUUGGCCUUUCGGCUAUGAUCAAGCGUGUCUGUUCCGAUCAUUUUAAUAUCUGGUAUGGCCCCUAUUCAAGGACAGUAUAUUAAAUGGAUUUUUUGAAAUAAGAGAUGGAGUUGGAGUUUAUUCUGUCCACUCCACAAUCGACCUGCUACUGUGGUAUUUUCAAGAGUGGUAACUGUUU
rfam:Tupaia chinensis contig109170, whole genome shotgun sequence.